GUGAAGCGGGAAAAGCUCAAAUUUAAAAUCUGGCGGUCCUUAUGGUCGUCCGAGUUGUAAUCUGGAGAAGUGCUUUCUGUGCUGGACCGUGUACAAGUCUCUUGGAACAGAGCGUCAUAGAGGGUGAGAAUCCCGUCUUUGACACGGACUACCAGUGCUUUGUGAUGUGCUCUCAAAGAGUCGAGUUGUUUGGGAAUGCAGCUCAAAAUGGGUGGUAAAUUCCAUCUAAAGCUAAAUAUUGGCGAGAGACCGAUAGCGAACAAGUACCGUGAGGGAAAGAUGAAAAGAACUUUGGAAAGAGAGUUAAACAGUACGUGAAAUUGCUGAAAGGGAAACACUUGAAGUCAGUCGCGUUGGCCAGGACUCAGCCUUGCUUUUUUGCUUGGUUUACUUUCUGGUUGACGGGUCAGCAUCAGUUUUGAUCAUUAGAAAAUGGCUGAGGGAAUGUGGCAUCUUUGGAUGUGUUAUAGCCCUUGGUCGCAUGUAAUGGUUGGGACUGAGGAUCACAGCACACCUUUAAUGGUCGGGGUUCGCCCACGUUUGUGCUUAGGAUGCUGGCAUAAUGGCUUUAAUUGACCCGUCUUGAAACACGGACCAAGGAGUCUAACAUGCAUGCGAGUGUUUGGGUGGAAAACUCGAGCGCAUAAUGAAAGUGAAAGUUGAGACCUCUGUCGUGGAGGGCAUCGACGCCCGGACCAGAACUUCUGUGACGGCCCUGCGGUAGAGCAUGUAUGUUGGGACCCGAAAGAUGGUGAACUAUGCCUGAAUAGGGUGAAGCCAGAGGAAACUCUGGUGGAGGCUCGUAGCGAUUCUGACGUGCAAAUCGAUCGU
rnacentral:rRNA from 1 species